rfam:Oryza nivara chromosome 4, whole genome shotgun sequence.
AAAAAAACAAACCGCAUGUUUCCGUGCAAAUGUUUGACUGUCCGUCUUAUAUAAAAAUUUUUUAUAAUUAGUAUUUUCAUUGUUGUUAGAUGAUAAAACAUGAUUAAUACUUUAUGCAUGACUUAUCUUUUUAAUUUUUUCAUAAUUUUUUUUAAAUAAGACGAACGGUCAAACGUUGGACACGGAAACCAGGGUUUAUCUUUUU